GAAGGCUGAAAUUCGCCUUCCAUGAAGCUGGAAUUGCUAGUAAUGGCAGGUCAGCAUACUGCCGUGAAUACGUUCCCGGGCCUUGUACACACCGCCCGUCACACCAUGAGAGUUGGGAAUACCCGAAGCCUGUGAGCUAACUGUAAGGAGGCAGCAGCCGAAGGUAGAAUCAAUGAUUGGGGUGAAGUCGUAACAAGGUAGC
rnacentral:rRNA from 1 species